AUUUCCAAUUCUUCUACUACGCUAAUUUUAGCCUGAUCCGCUUUCAUUUUACAGACUACAACAAAAUCCAAAAAAAUAAUAAUUUCCCCUCAUUUUUUUCUUCAUUUUUUUAAGUGGUCAAAAUUAAAAUCGAUGAUUAGCCCAAAAAAAUUAAAAAUAAAAAAAUAGCAAUCUCUGCACCUUUAAAUUUCAAAUAUUUCUUUUCCAAAUAAAAACAGAGUAAUGUCUUUCAAUGUCUUGUUUUUCCGUCCACUUUACAAAUUACCCAGUGCUUUGUGUCUUUAUCAUAAUGUCCCACUAAAUCCCCUUAAAGUUUCUCCUUAUCAUGAGGAAAAUUGGAUCAGAGGUAUGCUUUUGUAAAGCACUAUAUGCUCAAUGCUGCAAAACAGGACUGCGUUGCCUAACAUAAAUGGACAGCGGUGCUGUGCUUCAGUUUCAAAGCAGCUUUUGCAUAAAAAUUUCCCUGAAGCAAGCAGCUUUCUAUUUGCAGGUCGGCGUCGCUUUACUAUUUGCCUUUACCAAGGUGCUGCAUACCUGCGAUAACAACGUGUUCUCUUGCAAGCUCCUCUCAGACUGCGUUGUUAUCGAUCCGUGUUUGCUUUUAGACAAACAGUAGAAUUUCUCCUCACACAGUUCUGUUAGCAGAGGUAUUUCAGAUAUUUUAACGGGUGGCCAUUUUGGGUUGGAAACUUGUGUUCCAAGCCAUUCCCUGAAGCUACAACAACUGGCUAACUGCUGUAGCAUUAUUAGGACGAUUGUAAAGCUAAUAAUUUGAGUCUGUUGUUUGAGCUUUUUCGUCGCCCCUGUUGACGGUUUUUCGUUUAUUCUCCUCAGCUGAGGUGAUAGGUGUUGCCUGUUUUGGUGUAAAACUAACUUUUCCUCAAAGCUCAGUUUCAGGCAUCUACAUAAAAAAAAAAUAAAAAAUGUAAUCCAUUGUUAUAAAUGUUAAUCCCAUUAUAAUUCCAGCAUGGCUCGUGAUUAGGCCUGUCAUGAUAACAAAUUAUGCCGGACCAUAAACAGUCCCAGUAAUUAUUGCGAUUAGGCCUGCCGCAAUAAACAGUUAAUCAGUUAAUUGCAUGAUCAAUUAAAAUGAUUUAACGUUUUUCUCUUUUCACUCUCUUUCUACCCAAAGCUGGACAAUAAAGGUUUUCAGUCUGAGUCUCAACUCGCCUGUCUGCUUCUUUUUGAAGACUAGUUUUUCUUACAGACACUUCAUAGUUCCUUUUAUUUGUCGUCUCUGUUGUUUUGUUUAUUUAUUUUCAAUAUUUAAAAUAUCUCCCAGUUCCAGUGUUAAAUGUUCAUUAGAAGUAUAAUGAACAUUUCUAAUGAACGUGGUUGAGAACGUGUUUUUGCGUUAUUAAACCAUUACUAUUAUAUUUCUUGAAAAUGGUCUCAAAACGGCAAUAUUAUCGUUUAUCGCAAUGACUUCUGGGACAAUUUAUCGUCCAGCAAAAUGUGUUCUUGGACUGGCCACGUUGUGAUAAACAAUGUUGUUGCUCUUUUGCGAACAUUUUCAAGCGCUAUUUUGAUCACAGCGUAAAAACUAAAACCCGCCUUCUCGAAGAAAUAUCCAAAAUAAAACUCAGCAACCAAAACCGGUAAAAUGUAAAUGAAAACCACAGACAAGCAAAACCAUAAAUAAAUAAAACCGCUUAUGAAAUCUCUGCAAACAAAAUUGCCCUGCAAAAAAUGUUAGUCAUUAGAAUAGAAAUUAUCAAGCUGAUUUUUAUUAAUUGAUUAAUUGCUCAUUGUGACAGGCUGGUAAAGUGGCAUUUGGUUGUUUGUUUGUGUUUGUGUGUGUGUGUGUGAGAGAGAGAGAGAGAGGGGGGAGCAGAAGCAAGAUGUGAUUCUGUCUUUGAUUAAUUUCCAGCAGGUUUUGGAUUCACCCAGGGAACCUUUGCUGCCAGAGGGAAGAACUGACCGGGCCAUAGGGGAAAGCUGCUGAACUCCGACUGCUGGAUUCACUUUUUUCUUUCUUUCUUUUUUUACUAUGGUUGUUUUUAUUUUAUUUUUUUUUAUUUCACAUUUGCAUCACAAGGGAACACAUCAUAUCUAUUCUGACUUUUCUGACAACUUAGAAUCACUUUUACUGACUUGAUCAGGAGCUUGGGAACUACUGGAUCGAGCCAGAGGAGAUGUUGGAGUAAUUGAAACGUCUUGUAGUGCCUGAGAGGUCUGUUAUGUUCACUAGCAGAAAUCAGCGAAGACUUUGCCUCGGCGGUAAAUGAAAUUAGAAAGCACUUUAUAGAAUCUGGCUUGACAGAAAGAGGGGGGUUUAAAUAACGUCUACCUGCAGAAUAAUAUAAGUUUGAUAACUGGGUUUUCUGUAUAAUCUUUUUUGUAUGAUAAGACUUUUUUCUUUGCCUUAUAAUAAAGAAACUACUUAAUAUUC